GCUCCUUCCUUGCUCUUGAAAACAAGCACAUGACGAUCUACAGGUUCUGCUAUAAUGGAGGAACCCUACUGUCACCACCUUGCAGUCCGUUGCCAUGGCGAUCUCCGGCUCUAGGCAAGACACCUCAAUCUGGAAAGAGGAAAAAAGGUAAAGCCUGAAGCUGCUCCCUCAGCCAUCCGGCCUUGAAUCUACAGUAGAAGCACUUUGAGCCAACGCUUUACUGUACCUGAGACAUCUGGGGGAACAGGCUGAUGGCCACAGGCAGGGAGAGGCCGAAGGUAAUCAGGCACACAACGCUGUGGAUGGGUAGCAACAGUCUGCGGUUGCUCUGCAGAAAUCGCAGCCUACACAAGUCAAGAUAGUGAUAAAAGGGAAACGUGAGCCUGCUGUGCGGAUCGAUCCCGGAUGACUACUGCAAGUUAUUUUUAGAUCUGGAGAAAAGCAUGUGCAGCUUUGGGGGAGCUAUUUUCCCACAUCUGGUGGGUGGGAGAUUUAUCUGUCUGUGUGAAAGUUCCUGUUCUGGGUUUAAUGAGUCAGACUGCAGAUAUCCUCUUUUAUUUAAUUUUAUGAUAGAAACAGAAAUUCUGUUUUUGUUCAGUCUUCGAAAACACAUUAGGCUAUAUUAUUACAGUUCAUUUUUACAUCUUUUACAUUUGCUCUACAUUUGACCUACUAGCUACCCAAUUAAUAUACUGUAUGUUAAGCACUUUAGGGCAUGGCAUAUGUUGGCUCAGGCUCAUUACACAGACAAUAUUUAUUAUUUAGUAUUUUUGAGACAGGUUAGCCAAACCGUGAAACCGAUCAAAUGAAAAUUGUAAUGAUGUUGUAAAUUGUAACUUUUGUUAAAAAGCAGAUUAUUUAACAGUCUGCCUCUGGACAAUCUGAAGAUCGUAGACAAAAAAACCUUUAGGAUGUCAGAGGCUCCUCUUUUAGAUGGACACAUUUAGCUGCUAUUAUUUUUGUCAGGGUUGGAUUUAAUUCCUGCUUCUUUUAUUAGGGGUAACAAAACUUAAAUAGUUUUGUGUCAUUCAAAAGAACAAAUCUUUUGUACAAACAAUUAUGUUUACUUUGCUCUGCUCUAAUCUCCUUUGUUACUUAACCACUGAUGUAGGCAGUGUUUUCCUUCUGACAAAUGCCAAAUAAUAAAUAGCCGUUUUUGUACAACAGUAAAUUAGAAGACAAAAUUAGUCUCCUAAAUUAAAUUUGUAUGUUUUAAAAUACUGUUUUAAGCAGAAAUCCCUGGUUCUAGCUUCUCAAAUAUGAAUAUUUUCUAGUUGUUAAAAGACAGACAACAUGAAAAGACAUGACCUCUGGCUCUGGGAACUUGUGAGGGGUACUUUUCAUAUUCAUUUUACAGACUAAAAGAUUCAUUGAGAAAGUAAUCAGUAGAUUAAUGAAUAAAAAAGUAAAUUGUUACUUGCAGCCCUUGUUAAUGUAAAAAAUCAGUAUAUUUCUGUACAAACCUCUCUAGGUAGGACAUGAUGAUGGGGGGCAGGACAAAGAUUGGCAUCGGGAGGACCACACGUGUGAAGGCUGUCUCUAUGAUCGCCUGGGGAAAAAGAUGGGAACAUUGUGCACACGCUUCAUUUCAAAUACCGCAAUGAGUUGGAUUUAAUUUUCCCUUUCAUGAGAUCAGAUGGGUGCUGAGCAACAGGAACCGGGGCAGGAAAUGAUGCAUUUUCCCCAUUAUCAGCCAACAUCACAUUUGAAAUUCACAGAGUGAAAAAAAAGAAAUGAAAAUUAAUAAACACAUUCAGUGAAGUAACAAGAAUGCUGAGUGUGCAAAAAAAGGCCACUAACAUGUCUUGCAGCUAUUUUGGAAGAUCCCACCACAUUUCCGUUGUCGUCCAGCACAUCAAUACCUUCAGAUAGCUCAUUGUGUCGCAUCAGGCCCACAUUACAGAUGUUUGCACUAGCUGAAGAUGGGAAGAGAAGGGCAGGCACAGAUCAAAAGAAAUUCCUUUCCUAUAAACGUCAUUGAUGCAAUUAAAAAGCUCUGAAAGAGAGAUUUAUAUACAUGUUUCUCAUUUGUAAGGUGUGAAAUCUUAAAAAUGAAGCUUGACAUCAGUAAAAUGUUGUGACUCCAACCAUCAGGGGGCAAAAUACUGACUCCAAUAAUAACUGGCACGUUGGGUCAUAUGAAAACCUACCUACAGCUGGGAAGGGGACAAAUCUCUGUAUUAUCAUUCUGGUUGCUGGGCUCAGCUUGUUGGCCUUCUGAAUCAGCAUAUUUAGUCCAACCUAUAAAAAAAAAAAACACUUAAUAGAUGUAACAUCAGGUAAUAUACAUCCGGCUUGGA